UUCAAAUGGAGGCUGCAUCUUUUAAAGAGA
rnacentral:piRNA from 2 species